rnacentral:rRNA from 1 species
CAGGACCGUGAAACGACUUAGCGCCGAUGAUAGUGCUGCAACCAGUGUGAAAGUAGGUCAUCGUCAGGC